rnacentral:rRNA from 1 species
GCACAAGCGGUGGAUGAUGUGGAUUAAUUCGAUGCAACGCGAAAACCUUACCUACCCUUGACAUGUCUGGAACCUUGCUGAGAGGCGAGGGUGCCUUCGGGAGCCAGAACACAGGUGCUGCAUGGCUGUCGUCAGCUCGUGUCGUGAGAUGUUGGGUUAAGUCCCGCAACGAGCGCAACCCUUGUCACUAGUUGCCACCAUUCAGUUGGGCACUCUAGUGAGACUGCCGGUGACAAACCGGAGGAAGGUGGGGAUGACGUCAAGUCCUCAUGGCCCUUAUGGGUAGGGCUUCACACGUCAUACAAUGGUCGGUACAGAGGGUUGCCAAACCGCGAGGUGGAGCCAAUCCCUUAAAGCCGAUCGUAGUCCGGAUCGUAGUCUGCAACUCGACUACGUGAAGUCGGAAUCGCUAGUAAUCGUGGAUCAGAAUGUCACGGUGAAUACGUUCCCGGGUCUU